CCCGGAUUUAUGUGAAUCUUAAACCAUUGAUUGUUAUUUUGCUCUAUAGAAUAUAUGGCAGGCAGAUAUGAUUGUUGUAUAAUUACCCUUUCCCGGUUGUUGGUCAACAAUGACUGUAUUUUGAACAUUACUUCCACCACAAUCUUGGGCUCUACUAAGACAAAAACAACCAGUAAUAAACAUGAUUAGAGGGAAAAACAUUUGUGAAAGAAGCAUCCCCAUGGUGUCAAUCUU
rnacentral:lncRNA from 1 species